UAUUUUGUAGAUGCCAUGAUUCAUAACACCAUUGUUUAUUUAUUUUGGAUGCUUGAAUUUGAGCUUACAACUAUGAUGCUAACACAAUAAGAGCAUCAGAUACAAUACACAUUUGACACCAUGAUAUGCUGUUACUUGAAAAAUACAGGAUAUGGUUGAAGUACAUAUAUAAGUAAAUACAAUAAUUCACAAAAUAUGAUGAAAAUAUUAUUGCACUGGCCAAGAAUAGUAACGAAAGUUGAAUAUAGGUGAAGAAAUGUGAUAUAAAUUGCAUCUGUAUAAUUAACAUAUAUAAAUGAGAAAAUGGGGAUUACUAGCUUAAUGAAUGAAGCAGUGACAUAAAUUGCAUUUGUUGCCACUAACGAGCAAGAGUAUCAACACUGAACAUAAAGUAUGCAUGUGAGAUGUGAGUAGUAAUGGAGAAUAUGAGUCAGAAGUGUCAAUGGCAUGUCGGGAGUGUAUCGACAGUGUACCCGGAUUUUUUUAUUUACUUCAAAAAUUUGAUCUGUCAUAUUGCAUCAAAGUAUGCUGACAAGAUAUCGGAGCGUAUUAGAGAGUAUCAUCAAGUACGAUACGAGAAGAAAAAUGAACUAUAGUAUUAAUGCAUAUUGGGGUCCCAAAAAUUAGACACCUUUUUUUUUUUCCAAAAAAUAAUAAUUGAUCUUAUUUGUGACUUCUUUUUAAACUGCGACACUACACUUGUGAUUAAGUUCAAUGGAGUCCUGUCUGGUGUCCGAGCUAGCAAUCUUAAUUUUGUUUUGAUAAUUUUUUUAUUUGAGUGUUUGGUAAGACGCCAAAAUGCCUUAUUGGCGGCAUUCUGAAUCGCACAAGUAUAGGAACCAAUUAGUUAUCUGCUUAACUUUGCAGUAUUGCUUGGGCUAUAACUUAUAAGUUGGUUUAAAGUUUAACGAAACUUGAAUCAGGAACGAGAUUUAUGACUUUUUUGUUUAAGAAAUGAAAUUCACUUUACCGUGGAUUCACCGAGAUGGAAAUGGAGAUAUGGGUGCCUUGUGGGAAAUGUGUUGAGUGUUGUGGGGACGAAAUAACGUUAACCGAUGACUUUUUGUUUAAGAAAUGAAAUUCACUUUACCGUGAAUGUCUCGAGAUGGAAAUGGAGAUAUGGGUGCCUUGUGGGAAACGUGAAAUUCACUUUAUCGUGAAUGUCCCAUGAUGGAAAUGGAGAUAUGGAAGCCUUGUGGGAAACGUGAAAUUCACUUUACCGUGAUUGUCCCGAGAUGGAAAUGGAGAUAUGGAUGCCUUGUGGGAAACGUGAAAUUCACUUUACCGUGAAUGUCCCGAGAUGGAAAUGGAGAUAUGGAUGCCUUGUGGGAAACGUGAAAUUCACUUUAAUGUGUGGUUGUCCCGAGAUAGAAAUGGAGAUAUGGAUGCCUUGUGGGAAACGUGAAAUUCACUUUACCAUGAAUAACCCGAGAUGGAAAUGGAGAUAUGGAUGCCUUGUGGGAAAUGUAUUGAGUGUUGUGGGAACGAAAUAAAGUUAACCGAUGACUUUUUGUUUAAGAAAUGAAAUUCACUUUACCGUGAACGUCUCGAUAUUGAAAUGGAGAUAUUUAUACCUUGUGGGAAAUGUGUUGAGUACUGUGGGGACAAAAUAAAGUUAACCGAUGACUUUUUAUUUAAGAAAUGAAAUUCACUUUACCGUGAAUGUCCCAAGAUGGAAAUGGAAAUAUGGAUGCCUUGUGGGAAAUGUGUUGAGUGCCGUGGGGACGAAAUAAAGUUAACCGAUGACUUUUUGUGUAAGAAAUGAAAUUCUCUUUAUUGUGAAUGUCCCGAGAUGGAAAUGCAGAUAUGGAUGCCUUGUGGGAAAUGUGUUUAGUGCUGUGGGGACAAAAUAAAGUUAAACGAUGACUUUUUGUUUAAGAAAUGAAAUUAACUUUACCGUGAAUGUCCUGAAAUGGAAAUGGAGAUAUGGAAGCCUUGUGGGAAUUGUGUUGAGUGCUGUGGGGACGAAAUAAAGUUAACCGUUGACUUUUUCUUUAAAAAUUGUAAUUCACUUUGGAAAUGGAGAUAUGGAUGCCUUUUGUUGGAAAGGUUUUGAGUGCCGUGGGGACGAAAUAAAGGUGACUAAUGAAAAUUCCUAUAAAAGCGGUGGUAGUUUUUUUGUUUGAGGAUAGGAUUUGGAAAAUAAUUUAUGGUAAACGAAAGUUUGCACCUUGUAUGAUGCAUAAAAUUACAAAUCUAUUGCUGAAAGGUGCAUGAUUCAGAUAUUGGAAUAUGAAAAUUACAAAUCUAUUACUGAAAGUGGCAUGAUUGAAAUAUUGGAAUAAGAAUUCUAUGAAAAAGUACGUCAGAAUGAGAAUCAAAGACCGUUGGAUGGAGACAUGGAUUAUUUUGGUGAAAAUGAAAAGGAAAGAUGUCAUUACAUAGUGGUCUGUGGCCCUAGACAUAGUCAAAUGGUAAAGGAGGAUCUAGUCAGCAAAGAUACUGAUAUUUGCCAAAUUAUUAUUCAAUAAUUUUUUAGUCUUUAUUCAUGUCAAAAUAGUGAUCUCUCCAUUCUGUCGGUAUAUUCCAUAGGUUAUUUCUUAAUACAUCUUUAGGAUGGAUUGCUGAUUACAUUUUAGGAUGCUACCUUAGCGUUCCCUUGGGUAAAUCACACUUAUGUUGGAAAUGGCUUGUGCAACCUUCAAUGGUGUUUAUUUCCCAUAUUGUUGGCCAUCAAGUGUAAUCAGUAUUGUCGACGGCAGAUGGCUGAGCCAAAACCCGGCAUACCGGCCACUUUGCAGGGUCGUUAUAGCGGAUAAUGGCGGAAAAACGUGCAAUAUGACUGAUUUUACCAUUGUGGUGAGCCUGCAAACCGCCAUGUAUAUCCACCAAAGAGGCCAUGGCCCCUCUAUGUGCUAUUUGAUAACACUGGGUGGAGUCUACUAAUUAGAGCUAUAACCAUCCAUGGUUGUCAAUGUUUGUAUCAUAUUACUUUAUAAUAGUAGGUAUCAAACUUGAGUUAACUCAAAAAGUUGCUUUUGUAGUAGACUUGGAUAGACGCGCAUAGAGUCCCCAGUAUGAGUACCAAUUGUACAAUACAAUGUUAGUAGCAGUGUUUUUUAAAAACCCUAAGAUAAGAGCAACAGUUGAAUGAUAUGUGACUGCAGUAGUAACCUAGUUAUAGCACGACUCCACAGAUGCAUUUAGAAUCUCAAUGUGAACUUAUCUAUUAACAAGGGGAACGUUGUGUCGAGUCUCAACGUUGCAGCUUUUGCAAGUCUGCAAUGAAUCAAUGCGCCAACAAGGUGAGUGAUUCUAACUCUGAUGAGCUGAUUCCAGCUUUGACGAGGAGACCCAGUCCCACGCAGUGUUAUCAAACAACGGCGUGAUGGCCGCUAUGGCAGACGAAAGGCUACGAUGGUGCGAAUAGGGGAGAGGAGGACGAAAGGCUAUUAUGCCGGCGAUGUCGGAUUCGUAAGGAACGUGUGGUGGUUUAUGCAAUUUGAAGAUAUAUAUUGUAGAUAUGGGCAUUUGAUGUUACAACCGAUAUUCUGAAGCUUACAAUCCAACCGUCGAGGAUCGUUAUGAUAUGCGAUACGAUCAACUUAGAAGCAUUGCUGGUCGUAUACAUAUUGUGGUUGGAGGGAGGUUCAAGGGGAAAGGCUGCAGUCCGCGUUUAGUAUUCUACUAGACAUAUUGUGAAGGAUAUUGAGCAUGUGCAGUAACUGUUCAUUUAUUUCGUCGCAGACGGAGUUAAGUCGGUCUAUCGAACGAGCUGCCAAGAUGAGGUACACAUGGAAAUAAAUAAUCAGAUUUCAAGGCAUCAGAAGCAGUGAAAAUAUUUUAUUUGGGUAGGGAGCUUGAAGAUCCCAUAUCACUUGUUGCACAAAAUGUUCAGCCAAACUCCUUGUUACAUCUUGUCCGUACAAAGAUACAUUUAUGGCCUAGGGCACAAAGAGUUCCUGGUGAGGACAAGUCGUUGCGUCCUCCGGGAGCAUUCAAGAAAAAAUCUGAUCUGUCUGUAAAAGAUGGACAUGUGUUUCUUAUGGAGUGAGUGACUUAAAACUUUUGGUCUGCUACUUUGUAUGUGUGCUCUUUGUUGGACCACAAUUAUUUUCUAUUUUGCAUACUUCAACGUGAAAAUUCUAUUUUGAAGGUUGGGAACGACCAUUUAUGUUACUAUUGUCAAAGAUACAAUGCCAUAGUUUGUUCUCUUCUGAUUAACAAGCACCUUCUCCAUAAAGCCUUCACAAGUAGUUAGCAAUGCUUUUUUUCCCCUUUCUAUGUGUCUGAUGCUUAACCUUCUCCAUAAAGAAAAAACUUAAAAAAUAGAUGUUCCAGCCAUUUAUAACACUUAUCAAAUGCUACUUUAGCGUUCCCUUCGAUAAAUCACACUUAUGUUGGAAAUGGCUUGUGCAACCUUGAAUAGUGUUUAUUUCCCCACAUUGUUGGCCAUCAAGUGGAAUCAAUGUUGUUGAUGGCAGAUGGCGGUCCAUGGCGGAGCCAAAAUCUCGGCAUACCGGCCACUUUGCGGCGCUGUUAUAUCAGAUUAUGGCAGAAAAGCCUGCAAUAUCUGGCCGAUGUUUACCAUUGCGGUGAGACUACAAAAUGCCAUGUAUAUCCACCAUAGCAGCCAUGGCGCCGCUAUUUGCUAUUUAAUAACACUGGGUGGAAUCUACUGCUUAGAGCUAUAGUGAUCCAUGGUUGUCAAUUUCUGUAUCAUAUUACUUUGCAAUAGUAGGUAUCAAAGUUGAGUUAACUCAAAAAAUUGCUUUUGUAAUAGACUUGGAUAGACGAGCAUAGUCUUCAGUAUGAGUACAAUUUGUACAAUACAAUGGCAGUGGCAGUGUUUUUUUUUUAAAGACUCUAAGAUAAGAACAACAGUUGAAUGAUAUGUGGUUGAGGUAUAGCCUAGUUAUAGCACUUGACUCCGUAGAUGCAUUUAGCAUCUCAAUGUGAACUCAUCUAUAAACAAGGGAACUUUGUUGUGUCGAGUCUCAACCUUGCAGCUUUUGCAAUUCUGCAAUGAAUCAAUGCGCCAGCAAGGUGAGUGAUCCUAACUCUGAUGAGCUGAUUCGAGCUUUGACGAGGAGACCCAGUCCCACCCAGUGUUAUCAAACAGCGGCGUGAUGGCCGCUAUGGCAGAUAUACAUGGCUGUUUUCGGGUUCUCCACAAUGGUAUAUAACAUCCGAUAUUGUGGGUUUUUCCGUCAUAAUCCGAUAUAACGGCGCUGCAAAGCGGCCGGUACGACGGGAUUUUGCCUCUCUGCCAUCGGCAAUACGUCCCACCAUCAUUCACUCUUCUAGAAUUUUCUUUCCCAUGUUUUAGUCCAGCCUGGAACUUUAAGUCAUUUUUGUUACACUUUCACAUUUCUGCCAUAAUAAAUCAUUUCAGUAUUCCUUGUUUUGAUGCCAAUUAUCUCGAUGGAUGAUAAAUUCAAAUGUGAUGUUAAAUGUCAUGGGGAUUGGGAAGGCAUUGUGGUAAUAUUCAGGACUGUCUGAUG